rnacentral:pre_miRNA from 1 species
AAUAAACCAACUUUUCACUUUUUAUCUAUAAUUUUUAACUCUUCGUUUUAUUCAAAUUUUUUUACGAUUGAUAUUUUUGUUUUUAUUAGAUGAUAAAUCAUGAAUAGUACUGGACAUGUGACUAAUUUUUUUCUAAUUUCUCAAAAAAAUUUUAAAUAAAACGAAUGGUCAAACGGUGGACACAGAAAUCGAAG